CAGUAGCCGCGGUAAUACGUAGGUGGCAAGCGUUGUCCGGAAUUAUUGGGCGUAAAGGGCUCGCAGGCGGUUUCUUAAGUCUGAUGUGAAAGUCCCCGGCUCAACCGGGGAGGGUCGUUGGAAACUGGGAAACUUGAGUGCAGAAAAGGAGAGUGGAAUUCCACGUGUAGCGGUGAAAUGCGUAGAGAUGUGGAGGAACACCAGUGGCGAAGGCGACUCUCUGGUCUGUAGCUGACGCUGAGGAGCGAAAGCGUGGGGAGCGAACAGGAUUAGAUACCCCCGUAGUCCCUGUCUCUUAUAA
rnacentral:rRNA from 1 species